GCCACUCUAGCUCAGUCGGUAGAGCACCGCCCUGAAAAGGCGGGUGUGCCCAGUUCGAUUCUGGGGGGUGGCACGA
rnacentral:tRNA from 1 species